AACACCUGCACCUGGAAAGCUGAAGGGUUGUGCACAAGGACUUUCAUGCACUUUGAUCUUUGGGUGCUCCUGGUUUGGGCUUUUUUCAGGUUCAUACGCGCUGCAUCAUAAUUGGCUGUUGAAGACAACAAUGAAUUCCCAUCUCUCAGACUUACCUGAUCCUCCAUCCAAACUCUGAUGUUGGAAUCCAUGCUGUCCAGUCCAUGUGAAGAGCACAGGAAGGCUUGUUGCAGCACACUUAAUAGUAAGCUGUGUGUGUGUGUGUGUGUGUGUGUGUGUGUGUGUGUGUGUG